CCCCUCCCUCCCUCCCCACCCACACAGGCGCUGGGCGUGAGCAGCCAGAGCGACCGGGCGACCAUCAAGAAGAAGGUGAAGGACAUGCGCAAGGCCCAGGAGAAGCUGGAGAAGCAGAGGGAGAAGCGGGAGAAGGAGGCGCGACGCAGCGGAAAACUACCGGCCAGUACGGACUCUGUGUGCUGAGGUACGCUGGCGGUGCGUCCCCCCUCUCUCAAGGCCCUGCUCGCAGGGCAGAACGUUCACUACAAAGACCCCCCCCGCCCUCACAUACUGUAUAUCUGCCAUCUCCCUUCCCUCUUCUAAUGUAACACGACCAUGCCACUAAUGACCGCGGGCAAACACGUCCGCUCUUGAAUUGCACCCUUGUAUUUUAUUUUCCAAGUGUCAGUCAUGAUUUUAUCUCUGUGCUGCGGUCUUGGUCCUUAUUUCGCUGUUUUGGCGUUUUAAUGCGUGUCCUCUAAUGCAACCCCCCUUUCUCGCGGACCCCCUCGAAUCAAACCAUUUCAACUGUGAGAUAGGGGGAUAGAAAAAUAAACACAUUGUUAAUUUGUGACCGAAAGUAAGCCCCUAUGUUAUUUGACCACUAAAUAUCGAGAUGAUAUCGUUCUGAUUCAAAGUCACGUUGUGCUUUUGCCGAUAAUCGGCAGGUUUCACCACGAAAUGUAAUCUGUAUUUAAAGGUUGGGUAUGGGAUUUGCGAAACGCCAGCAGAUUUUGAAAACCCACAACUCAAAUGGUCCUACCCCCUCUCCUUCAACGGUGACUCUGACUCCACUCAUUCCAAGUACAUGGACGCGCAAUCAUUCACGAGCGAAACCAGAUGCGCGAGUACGAGCCAUUAGCUAGCUCCAGUAGCUACCGCAGGAUAACAACAAACAGAAGCUUGCUCUGGGUCACGAGCUUUGAGUACGUGUCCGAAGGGGUCGAGCGGGGAAGGGGGAGUGCAGUACGACCGUUUGAUUGACGUACUUACUACUUAGUGUCCAAUGACACUCGGUGGGUCUGGGAAUCAUUGGCUGGAGUUUUUCGAGCCCUGCCCGUUCCACAGAUGAUUGACUUGUUUAAUUUUCAUGGCAGUACUUCUAACUCAGUGGCUGUAAGUGGGUUAUGAUAAGGAUUUCAAGUAAUUUUUACAAAAAAGGCCAAAAAAAGAGAAUUCCAUACCCAACCUUUAAAACAAAAACACUUCUGCUGGUCCCCUACAGCAAGGUGCUGAACAGGUGAUCUCAAAGCACUAUAAAAAAGGUCUUUAACGCUUCAAAGGUUGACAAUGUUUUAUGAGUAUAAAAAAGUUUUAUACAUCUGCCUAUUAACUGCAUUUACUUAUUUUUUUAAACAAUGAAAAUCAGACCACCGUAACAUUUUAUAUUAUACACAUUUUUUUCUACUAAGUAGAAUAGCGACAUCUUAUUUGCUGAAUAAGAUACGCAAAGGCGACUUGUUUUGAAUCCGGGGCAGAGCUGCUGUUUCUACUGCUAUUCCAAUCGUGCCUGAGUGGGCGGAGCCCUGAUCUGUCGUCCAAUCAGAACAGGGCCCCGUUACUGUAAUGAUUCCAGUGAUGUUACAGUCAUUCUAAAUCUCGUCUGUCUUGGCUCACCCAACGGGUGCCUACUAAACACAACUCUGGUUUGAAUAUGGUUCCACGUGACUAUGAAUGUUGUGAGAGUGCGGGUGUUGUGUGUCUGUGUGCGUUCCCGGGCCCACUGAAAUACUUUACCGUGGUGUUGCCAUUCAAGCUGUUAACUGUUUUGUAUAUUUUAUAGAGUCAAAAGAUAAAAUGUUGCACUGCGAGAAUGUUGUCCACUUCCCCCGUGAAGCCUUGGUACAUACUGUAAAGCGGCAUCAAUAAACUCAUUUUCACCUCAUGUGCUGUGG
ensembl:lncRNA